CCACCAUUUUGGUUAAAAACGUCCUAAUCAUGGCAAAUAUAGAAAACAUUGUUGAGGAUAUUAACUGAAAAAUAUAAAUGUUUGUCCAGGGGGUUAAAGUGAAGUGGAAAGUUAAAGUAUUAGGACGCGCCAGUGGUAUGGUGUAGGUGUUCUGGCAUUAGGACAGUCUGAGCUGGGGACUCAAGUCGAUGAAGCGCUGUGUGUCUUUCCAACAGAGGCUGAGCAGAGGAGUGAAGGCGUCCCUCCUCGUCUUCACCCUGGCUCAGACGGCCAUCUCUGCCGUCCUCUGCUUCCUGCUCUUCAGGCAGAGACAUGGAUUCGGACCGUACGCUUCCCUCAGCCCUGCUGAACCAGAGACCCCCACAGCACUCAUACCCCCAGAGCUGAACUGAUCAGCCAAUGGCCCCCCCUUCUGUUCCAGAGGUGACUGAUCACCUGUGUGUGUGCUCCCCCUUUGUCUAUCUGCUCGUACGUAUGACUUCUCCACAGAGCUGCCUGAUAUCUCAGCAGGAGACGUGUCAGUUGUCAGUGUUGUUAUGCAUGUCUGUCAAGAGCUGAAUAUUUCAUAACAUGUCAGCCAAAGGAUUCAAUACUUCAUUAUAGUGGGCUGCAUUAAAAGCAAACAUUAGGAAAGAAAUAACAACUGUUUAAAAUUAACAACCUUAAAGAAAGGUUAACAUCUCAUUCUGAUUUCGUCCUGUGGUAAAAUUAUUACAUCACACUACACACACCUUGGCUGUCACCACAUUCAAUAUAGAAAUGCAGUCCGUUUAACAUGUAUCAUCGGAUGGAGUUUGUUUAAGACUUGUUGACAAGCAAGCUCAGUAGUUAAGUGUUUACUGAAGAGGACUUAUAAUACAAUUUAAGGCACCUAUAGUAGCUAGUAAGUGGAUUUCUAAUUAGGCUAACUUCAAGAAUAAAUGUUCACACUGAAAAACUUUAAUGCCCUGUAUUAACCAGUUUAUCCGAAUGUGUGGACUAGCAGUGGUCACAAUGAGGAAAUCUUCACCUCUAACUCAUGCUGCACGCAGACACUGAGCUCUGACUGGCUCUCUGAAUCUGAAGCUGUUCUCUGUGUUCAUGGUUUUCUCUGUGUUCAUGGUGUUGGUGUUCAUGGUUUUCUCAGUGUUCUCGGUGUUCAUGGUGUUGGUGUUCUCGGUGUUGGUGUUCAUGGUGUUGCAGUCUUCUGGAACAGAUGGUGUUUAUUUUUACUUGCACUGCUUUAGUUUUUUUUACACUAUUUAUAAAGUGUUAAUCUUUGAUAUAUUUGUUUUUAUUUCAUACACAAUUAUGUACAUAUACAGUAUAUAAAUAAAUUUGUGACCCAGUGAGUUACAUUCUGCGUUUUA